AGUGAACGCUGGCGGUAGGCCUAACACAUGCAAGUCGAACGGCAGCACAGUAAGAGCUUGCUCUUACGGGUGGCGAGUGGCGGACGGGUGAGGAAUACAUCGGAAUCUACUUUUUCGUGGGGGAUAACGUAGGGAAACUUACGCUAAUACCGCAUACGACCUACGGGUGAAAGCAGGGGAUCUUCGGACCUUGCGCGAUUGAAUGAGCCGAUGUCGGAUUAGCUAGUUGGCGGGGUAAAGGCCCACCAAGGCGACGAUCCGUAGCUGGUCUGAGAGGAUGAUCAGCCACACUGGAACUGAGACACGGUCCAGACCCCCACGGGGGGGAAGAGUGGGGAAAAUUGGGAAAAGGGGCGGAACCCGGACCCAGCCAUACCGGGGGGGUAAAGAAGCCCUUGGGUUUGUAAAGCCCUUUUUUUGGGAAAAAAAAGCAGCAGGUUAAAACCCCGCUGUUUGAAGGGAACCAAAAAAAAAACCACCGCCAAAUUUGGG
rnacentral:rRNA from 1 species